GUGGAAAAUUACGUGGAGCAUAUUCGAAACAUGUUGGAGGAGCGGGAAUCUCUUACAGCGGCGUGACAGCGAACAGCUCCGUGCUGAGCUCGCCCUAAUGAAACACCAACAGGACUCCCAGUGUAAAGAGGUGGUGGAGAUGCUGGAGCAGGAGGGUCUAGCAGAGAUCAGUCAGAGCAGUGCCAGUGAGCAGGUGGCCUAUCUGCUGGUGGAGAGAGUCACUCUGCUUGAGAGACUGGAGGCUGCGGAAAGAAAACUGGACACCCAGACCCUAACUGGCAACCUCAGAGAGGUGCAUUUGCAGGAAGAGCUGGAUCAUAUGCGUCACACGUUGGAAGAUGAACUCAGGCAGACAUGAAGAAGGUGAGAAGAUCUCAUUGUCACGUAAGAAGGAAGCAGCUUCAGAAGCAGCAUGUUGAAGUCAUAUCCCAUUCAUCUAUAUUUAAGUGUUUCGUUGUCCAUCUCUUGAUAUGUUCUGCAUCAUAAUUUCUCCUGAUUCUUUGUUCCUCCCUUAAAUGGACAGGAAUCAUCAGUUCAAAGUCCUUGGAGGAAGUUCUUUGGUGUGCGCAAGGCUACAUUAAGAGCACAGAACCUUCCUGUAGGUUUCCAUACAUGUCAUAACAAAGGCAUGACAGAAAUGUAAAUCAAGAGAGGUGGAACCUUCCAUAUUGUCCUAGACAGGAUGAUCCACUUAAGCAGAUUAGGGCAGCUCCUCGUGAAAUCAUGCAUGCCUUGGUUGAACACAAAGCAGGGAAUAACGAUAUCUUCUCAUAUGCUGAGCUUAGCAUGAUCACAUUAACUUCUCUUAUUUUCACUAUGGACCCUAACAGCACUAUAGACCCCUUUCAUUCAGGGUGGUUACUAACCAGAGGCUGCUUGUCCCCUUGAUACAGUUAUUUCUGAUGGUUAUAAGGGAGCAGGUGCAUAUUAAACUCUGUUCACACUGGAACACGAUCCACAUUCAGCUUCACUUGUGUUCUGUGGCUUAUGCAUGUUAAAAACGCAUAGAUGCUGACAUGCUCCUUGCUCGUCCAGCCAGUGAAACCAGGUUCAUGUCUCACUGAAAGCUCUUUCCCCUGUAGGGCCACAGUGAAGAACUCAAUAGAGAACGCAUAGAGCGCCAGAGGCUGGAGAGGGAUCUGGAAGAGGCAUCGAGUCGUCUUGCUAUGGCACAUAAAGAGAUUCGUCACCUGACGGAUGAACUAGAUCUCGCUCGUAAGGUCCAAAACUCGUGUGGUAAGUAAAUAACCAAUUAUUAGUGGUGCUGUGGUAGUAAAAUUCUGGCUGAUGUCAGUAAGCUGAUUAUAAUUAUUUUCAUGUUAUGGCAGAUAACUGAUAAAUGACUGAGAAUAAAAUUCUGUGGUAUACUUCUAUACUAUUGUAGCCUACAUAUAGUGCCAUUCAAAAGUUUGGGGUUUUGGGUACAAAUUGUUUUUUUUUCUUUUUUGAAGUCUCUUAAGGAAGCAUUUUUAAAAAUCUAAAAUAUAGAUAAAAUAGUAAUAUUGUGAAAUAUUAUUACAAUUUGUAAUAAUAAAAUAAAAUGUAAUUUAUUCCUGUGAUUGCAAAGCUGAAUUUUCAGAAGUCCAUUGCUCCAGUCUUCAGUGUCACAUGAU
rnacentral:lncRNA from 1 species